AGUGAACGCUGGCGGUAGGCCUAACACAUGCAAGUCGAACGGCAGCACAGUAAGAGCUUGCUCUUACGGGUGGCGAGUGGCGGACGGGUGAGGAAUACAUCGGAAUCUACUUUUUCGUGGGGGAUAACGUAGGGAAACUUACGCUAAUACCGCAUACGACCUACGGGUGAAAGCAGGGGAUCUUCGGACCUUGCGCGAUUGAAUGAGCCGAUGUCGGAUUAGCUGGUUGGCGGGGUAAAGGCCCACCAAGGCGACGAUCCGUAGCUGGUCUGAGAGGAUGAUCAGCCACACUGGAACUGAGACACGGUCCAGACUCCUACGGGAGGCAGCAGUGGGGAAUAUUGGACAAUGGGCGCAAGCCCGAUCCAGCCAUACCGCGUGGGUGAAGAAGGCCUUCGGGUUGUAAAGCCCUUUUGUUGGGAAAGAAAAGCAGCAGGUUAAUACCCCGCUGUUCUGACGGUACCCAAAGAAUAAGCACCGGCUAACUUCGUG
rnacentral:rRNA from 1 species